rnacentral:rRNA from 2 species
CUUUUAAUGAGAGUUUGAUCCUGGCUCAGGACGAACGCUGGCGGCGUGCCUAAUACAUGCAAGUAGAACGCUGAGGUUUGGUG